CCUACGGGUGGCAGCAGUGGGGAAUAUUGGUCAAUGGGCGCAAGCCUGACCCAGCAACGCCGCGUGAAGGAAGAAGGCUUUCGGGUUGUAAACUUCUUUUCUCAGGGACGAAGAAAGUGACGGUACCUGAGGAAUAAGCCACGGCUAACUACGUGCCAUCAGCCGCGGUAAUACGUAGGUGGCAAGCGUUAUCCGGAUUUAUUGGGUGUAAAGGGCGUGUAGGCGGGAGCGCAAGUCAGAUGUGAAAACUCAGGGCUCAACCCUGAGCCUGCAUUUGAAACUGUGUUUCUUAAGUGCUGGAGAGGUAAGCGGAAUUCGGGGUGUAGCGGUGAAAUGCGUAGAUAUCACGAGGAACACCAGUGGCGAAGGCAGAUUGCUGGACAGUGACUGACGCUGAGGCGCGAAAGCGUGGGGAGCAAACAGGAUUAGAUACCCGUGUAGUC
rnacentral:rRNA from 1 species